GAUGAACGCUGGCGGCGUGCCUAAUACAUGCAAGUCGAGCGAAUGGAUUAAGAGCUUGCUCUUAUGAAGUUAGCGGCGGACGGGUGAGUAACACGUGGGUAACCUGCCCUUAAGACUGGGAUAACUCCGGGAAACCGGGGCUAAUACCGGAUAACAUUUUGAACCGCAUGGUUCGAGAUUGAAAGGCGGCUUCGGCUGUCACUUAUGGAUGGACCCGCGUCGCAUUAGCUAGUUGGUGAGGUAAAGGCUCACCACGGCAACGAUGCGUAGCCGACCUGAGAGGGUGAUCGGCCACACUGGGACUGAGACACGGCCCAGACUCCUACGGGAGGCAGCAGUAGGGAAUCUUCCGCAAUGGACGAAAGUCUGACGGAGCAACGCCGCGUGAGUGAUGAAGGCUUUCGGGUCGUAAAACUCUGUUGUUAGGGAAGAACAAGUGCUAGUUGAAUAAGCUGGCACCUUGACGGUACCUAACCAGAAAGCCACGGCUAACUACGUGCCAGCCGCCGCCGUAA
rnacentral:rRNA from 1 species